GACGAACGCUGGCGGCGUGCCUAAUACAUGCAAGUUGAGCGCUGAAGGUUGGUACUUGUACCAACUGGAUGAGCAGCGAACGGGUGAGUAACGCGUGGGGAAUCUGCCUUUGAGCGGGGGACAACAUUUGGAAACGAAUGCUAAUACCGCAUAAAAACUUUAAACACAAGUUUUAAGUUUGAAAGAUACAAUUGCAUCACUCAAAGAUGAUCCGCGUUGUAUUAGCUAGUUGGGGAGGGAAAGGCUCACCAAGGCGAUGAUACAUAGCCGACCUGAGAAGGUGAUCGGCCACAUUGGGACUGAGACACGGCCCAAACUCCUACGGGAGGCAGCAGUAGGGAAUCUUCGGCAAUGGACGAAAGUCUGACCGAGCAACGCCGCGUGAGUGAAGAAGGUUUUCGGAUCGUAAAACUCUGUUGGUAGAGAAGAACGUUGGUGAGAGUGGAAAGCUCAUCAAGUGACGGUAACUACCCAGAAAGGGACGGCUAACUACGUG
rnacentral:rRNA from 1 species